UCAGGCCAGCGCUGGACUUCAUCUUAGGGACACAUUUUGGAAGGUGAGGUAGGUUCCUGCCCAGCUGAUGAGCCCAACCCUGAGGGCCUCCGCCUUUGGAUGUCUGUGUAUCCAGUCCACCUCAGCCAUGGGGCUGGUGUCACAAGUGAUGGCUCUGUCCGGCCCAGGCUUCCCCCCGGUGGUGAACUGGCCAGGCAGAAAGCCAGAUCUGCCAGAAAAGGAUACCAGCCUCCCCCUCCCCCCAGCCUCUGCUGGAUCACUUCCAGCAAAGCUCGAGGAGAAAACGUCAGCCCAGAACCUGGACAGACCGAGAAGACCAAAAGAGGUCCUUGGAAUGGGGACAACAGGCCUUGCUUAGUCUUUGCUGGGAUUCACAGGGAAACAGACAGCCCUUGCAGAGGACCAGCUUCGCCAGCAGUCUCAGGUAGAGGAGCAAAGGGUAGCAGCCCUGGAGAACCAGAUCUCUGAGGUGUCUGAACUGCUGGGCACCUAUGAGAAAGCCAAGCAGAAAGACCAGCUGGCCAUCCAGAAGUUGAAGGAUCGAAUUUUACAGUUGGACUUGGAGAACAAGACACUGGCCCUUGCAGCCUCCAGCCGGCCCUCUCUUGACAUCCAUGGAGACGAAUCCAGUCUGGAUAUCAAUGUCUUGAAGGACAAGAUGGAGAAGCUCAAGAGGCUCCUGCAGGUUGCAGCUAGGAAAAGCCAGGUGACCCUGGAUGUAGAGAAGCUCUGUGACCCUGAUAUAAUGGCCAACUCAGAGGCUGCG
rnacentral:lncRNA from 1 species